CAGUCGCCACGGUAAUACGAAGGGGACUAGCGUUGCUCGGAUUUACUGGGCGUAAAGGGCGCGUAGGUGGUUAUGUAAGUGAGAUGUGAAAUCCCCGGGCUCAACCUGGGAACUGCAUCUUAUACUGCGUAGCUGGAGUGCAGUAGAGGGUAGUGGAAUUUCCGGUGUAGCGGUGAAAUGCGUAGAUAUCGGAAGGAACACCAGUGGCGAAGGCGGCUACCUGGACUGACACUGACACUGAGGCGCGAAAGCGUGGGGAGCAAACAGGAUUAGAUACCCCGGUAGUCCCUGUCUCUUAUAC
rnacentral:rRNA from 1 species